GAUGAAGAACGCAGCGAAAUGCGAUAAGUAAUGUGAAUUGCAGAAUUCAGUGAAUCAUCGAAUCUUUGAACGCACAUUGCGCCCGUCAGUAUUCUGGCGGACAUGCCUGUUCGAGCGUCAUUACGCCCCUCAAGUCCCCUGUGGACUUGGUGCUGGGGAUCGGCGAGGCUGGUUUUCCAGCACAGCCGUCCCUUAAAUUAAUUGGCGGUCUCGCCGUGGCCCUCCUCUGCGCAGUAGUAAAACACUCGCAACAGGAGCCCGGCGCGGUCCACUGCCGUAAAACCCCCCAACUUUUUAUAGUUGACCUCGAAUCAGGUAGGACUACCCGCUGAACUUAAGCAUAUCAAUAAGCGGAGGA
rnacentral:misc_RNA from 1 species